CUACGGGUUGUAAACUGCUUUUGUACGAGAAGAAUUCUCUUGACGUGUCAGGGGUUGACGGUAUCGUACGAAUAAGCAUCGGCUAACUCCGUGCCAGCAGCCGCGGUAAUACGGAGGAUGCAAGCGUUAUCCGGAUUUAUUGGGUUUAAAGGGUGCGUAGGCGGGAUAUUAAGUCAGUGGUGAAAUCCUGCAGCUUAACUGUAGAACUGCCAUUGAUACUGAUAUUCUUGAGUAUAGUUGAAGUGGGCGGAAUGUGUAAUGUAGCGGUGAAAUGCUUAGAUAUUACACAGAACACCGAUUGCGUAGGCAGCUCGCUAAACUAAUACUGACGCUGAGGCACGAAAGCGUGGGGAGCGAACAGGAUUAGAUACCCUGGUAGUCCACGCUGUAAACUAUGAUCACUCGUUGUUGGCAAUACACAGUCAGCGACUGAGCGAAAGCAUUAAGUGAUCCACCUGGGGAGUACGGCCGCAAGGUUGAAACUCAAAGGAAUUGACGGGGGCCCGCACAAGCGGAGGAACAUGUGGUUUAAUUCGAUGAUACGCGAGGAACCUUACCUGGGCUUAAAUGCAGAACGACGUCCGCCGAAAGGCAGAUUCCCUUCGGGGCGGACUGCAAGGUGCUGCAUGGUUGUCGUCAGCUCGUGCCGUGAGGUGUCGGGUUAAGUCCCAUAACGAGCGCAACCCUUAUUGUUAGUUGCCAGCGGGUAAUGCCGGGGACUCUAACGAAACUGCCGGUGUAAACCGAGAGGAAGGUGGGGAUGACGUCAAAUCAGCACGGCCCUUACGUCCAGGGCUACACACGUGUUACAAUGGCCGGUACAAAGGGCAGCUACCUGGUAACAGGAUGCUAAUCUCGAAAGCCGGUCUCAGUUCGGAUUGAAGUCUGCAACUCGACCUCAUGAAGUUGGAUUCGCUAGUAAUCGCGCAUCAGCCACGGCGCGGUGAUACGUUCCCGGGCCUUGUACACACCGCCCGUCAAGCCA
rnacentral:rRNA from 1 species